GGCAUAGUGGCGCACGGGUGCGUAACGCGUGGGAAUCUGCCCUGGGGUUCGGGAUAACCGUUGGAAACGACGGCUAAUACCGGAUGAUGAUGAAAAUCCAAAGAUUUAUCGCCCUGGGAUGAGCCCGCGUCCGAUUAGGUAGUUGGUGGGGUAAAGGCCCACCAAGCCGACGAUCGGUAGCUGGUCUGAGAGGAUGAUCAGCCACACUGGGACUGAGACACGGCCCAGACUCCUACGGGAGGCAGCAGUGGGGAAUAUUGGACAAUGGGCGAAAGCCUGAUCCAGCAAUGCCGCGUGAGUGAUGAAGGCCUUAGGGUUGUAAAGCUCUUUUACCCGGGAUGAUAAUGACAGUACCGGGAGAAUAAGCCCCGGCUAACUCCGUGCCAGCAGCCGCGGUAAU
rnacentral:rRNA from 1 species